GACGAACGCUGGCGGCGUGCUUAACACAUGCAAGUCGAACGGGUCUGCCCUGUUUUUUGCGGGGUGGGUCAGUGGCGAACGGGUGAGUAACACGUGAGUAACCUGCCCCUCACUUCUGGAUAACCGCUUGAAAGGGUGGCUAAUACGGGGUGUUCUGGCUGUGCCGCAUGGUGUGGCUGGGAAAGAUUCACUUUUGUGGUGUUUUGGUGGGGGAUGGGCUCGCGGCCUAUCAGCUUGUUGGUGGGGUGAUGGCCUGCCAAGGCUUUGACGGGUAGCCGGCCUGAGAGGGUGGGCGGUCACACUGGGACUGAGAGACGGCCCAGACUCCUGCGGGAGGCAGCAGGGGGGGGUAUUGCACAAUGGGCGGAAGCCUGAUGCAGCGACGUCGCGUGAGGGAUGGAGGCCUUCGGGUUGUGAACCUCUUUCGCCGGUGAAGAAGGUCCUGCUCUUUGUGGUGGGGUUGACGGUAGCCGGGUUAUGAAGCGCCGGCUAACUACGUG
rnacentral:rRNA from 1 species